GAUGAACGCUAGCGACAGGCUUAACACAUGCAAGUCGAGGGGCAGCGGGGGAGGAAGCUUGCUUUCUCCUGCCGGCGACCGGCGCACGGGUGAGUAACACGUAUGCAACCUGGCCGUCACAGGUGGAUAACCGGAAGAAAUUCCGACUAAUACAGCAUAACACUCCUGAGGGACAUCCUUCGGGAGUCAAAGGAGGUAACUCCGGUGACGGAUGGGCAUGCGGCGCAUUAGGUAGUUGGUAGGGUAACGGCCUACCAAGCCGACGAUGCGUAGGGGUUCUGAGAGGAAGGUCCCCCACAUUGGAACUGAGACACGGUCCAA
rnacentral:rRNA from 1 species